rnacentral:rRNA from 1 species
UGGGGAAGUAUUGCGCAAUGGGCGAAAGCCUGACGCAGCAACGCCGCGUGAGUGAUGAAGGCCUUCGGGUCGUAAAGCUCUGUCGGAGGGAACGAAUGCUCCUGAAGUUAACAGCUUGAAGCCUGACUUAACCCGGAGAGGAAGCAGUGGCUAACUCUGUGCCAGCAGCCGCGGUAAUACAGAGACUGCAAGCGUUAUUCGGAUUCACUGGGCGUAAAGGGUGCGCAGGCGGCCGGGUGUGUCAGAUGUGAAAUCCCGAGGCUUAACCUCGGAACUGCGUCUGAAACUACUCGGCUAGAGUAUUGGAGAGGGUAACGGAAUUCACGGUGUAGCAGUGAAAUGCGUAGAUAUCGUGAGGAACACCAGAGGCGAAGGCGGUUACCUGGACAAUUACUGACGCUCAGGCACGAAAGCAUGGGGAGCAAAAGGGAUUAGAUACCCCAGUAGUCCCUGAGCGGGCUGGCAAGGCGCAU